rnacentral:rRNA from 1 species
CCUACGGGGGGCAGCAGGCGCGAAAACUUUACAAUGCCGGCAACGGCGAUAAGGGGACCUCGAGUGCCAGGUUACAAAUCUGGCUGUCGUGAUGCCUAAAAAGCAUUGCAUAGCAAGGGCCGGGCAAGACCGGUGCCAGCCGCCGCGGUAACACCGGCGGCUCGAGUGGUAACCGUUAUUAUUGGGUCUAAAGGGUCUGUAGCCGGCCGGAUAAGUCUCUUGAGAAAUCCAGCAGCUCAACUGUUGGGCUUUCAGGAGAUACUGUUCGGCUCGAGGCCGGGAGAGGUGAGAGGUACUUCAGGGGUAGGGGUGAAAUCUUGUAAUCCUUGAAGGACCACCAGUGGCGAAGGCGUCUCACCAGAACGGACCUGACGGCAAGGGACGAAAGCUAGGGGCACGAACCGGAUUAGAUACCCCCGUAGUCC